rnacentral:antisense_RNA from 1 species
CUUGAUGGACCCGAGAUGGAGCGGCAGUUCGGCCGGGCGGCCCUGACCGUAGGUCGCCAGCAGGGCCUGCGCCUC